GACGAACCGUGCGAACGUUGUUCGGAAUCACUGGGCUUAAAGGGCGCGUAGGCGGGCUGCCAAGUCAGGGGUGAAAUCCCACGGCUUAACCGUGGAAGCGCCUUUGAUACUGGCGGUCUCGAGGGGGGUAGGGGCGUGCGGAACUUCCGGUGGAGCGGUGAAAUGCGUAGAUAUCGGAAGGAACACCGGUGGCGAAAGCGGCGCGCUGGACCCCUUCUGACGCUGAGGCGCGAAAGCCAGGGGAGCAAACGGG
rnacentral:rRNA from 1 species